GAUCCCAGGGUCUGAGAGACAGCCAAGAUGAAUAUGGCCUUCCAAGAAGACAUGCUGACAAGAAAAGACUCAGAGUGCCCAGGAGCUUCCCCUUCUUACCAACCCUGCAACCUGGAACCCUAGCCAUACCUCUCCCUGACUGUGGACAGUACAGCCUUUGAGCUGAGCCAAGCUGCUUCCCUGGCGAUUUCCAUAAGAGUACCACUUAUCAGCACCUUGGACAGCAUACAAAUGAUUCUGCGUCUCCAGAAAUUGUCACAGACACCCCAACCUUCAGCUACCACUACCCUGAUCCAUCAGCAUCAAUACCAAGGCAACAUCCUCCACCAGAAAAAGAUUACAACUCAAGCAAAUUCACCUGGGGAUCUGGCAAGAUGGCUGAAUAGCAACAGCUCCGGUCUGCAGCUCCCAGCGAGACCAACACAGAAAGUGGGUGAUUUCUGCAUUUCCAACUGAGGUACCCAGCUCAUCUCACUGGGACUGGUUAGACAGUGGGUGCAGCCCAUGGAGGAUUAGCCAAAGCAGAGUGGGGAAUCACCUAGCCCAGGAAGCU
rnacentral:sRNA from 1 species